rnacentral:rRNA from 1 species
GACGGAGGGUGCAAACGUUGUUCGGAAUCACUGGGCAUAAAGAGCACGUAGGCUGCGCGCUAAGUCAGGUGUGAAAUCCCCCGGCUCAACCGGGGAACUGCACCUGAUACUGGCGUGCUCGAGGACGGUAGGGGUGAGUGGAACUCCAGGUGGAGCGGUGAAAUGCGUAGAUAUCUGGAGGAACACCGGUGGCGAAAGCGGCUCACUGGACCGUCUCUGACGCUGAGGUGCGAAAGCUAGGGUAGCAAUCGGG